rnacentral:rRNA from 1 species
UAGAGAAUCUUGCCCAAUGGACGCAAGUCUGAGGCAGCCACGCCGCGUGCGGGAAGAAGGCCUUCGGGUCGUAAACCGCUUUCAGCAGGGAAGAAGCGAGAGUGACGGUACCUGCAGAAGAAGGUCCGGCUAACUACGUGCCAGCAGCCGCGGUAAUACGUAGGGACCAAGCGUUGUCCGGAAUCAUUGGGCGUAAAGCGCUCGUAGGCGGUCCAGUCAGUCGGAAGUGAAAGCCCGGGGCUCAACCCCGGAACGUCUUUCGAUACUGCUGGACUUGAGGUAGGUAGAGGAGAGUGGAAUUCCUGGUGUAGCGGUGGAAUGCGCAGAUAUCAGGAGGAACACCGAUGGCGAAGGCAGCUCUCUGGGCCUCACCUGACGCUGAGGAGCGAAAGCGUGGGUAGCAAACAGGAUUAGAUACCCCCGUAGUCC